rnacentral:lncRNA from 1 species
CUGUGUUGGUAGGGACAUCUGAGAGUAAUGAUGAAUGCCAACCGCUCUGAUGGUGGCACAUGCCGAGUCACCCGAGUAAGCUAUUGUUAAGGGCCGUGACCCCAGCCUCCAUCAGCCGUCCGCUCUCAUGAAAGGCUGUCGGUGGUAGUCCACGUGCUUAAGUGCCUGCAUUCCGCAGUGUCACCAAUAUUUCCAUUAGUGUUUCUUUUUUCUUUUUUUUUUUGAGACCGAGCCUCGUUCUGUCACCCAGGCUGGAAUGCAGUGGCUCGAUCUCGGUUAAUGGCAACCUCCGCGUCCCGAGUUAAGCAGUUCUGCCUCAGCCUCCCAAGUAAUUGGGACUACAGGCGCGCGCCACCAUGCUAGGCUUUUAUAUUUUUAGUAGAGACGGGGUUUCACCAUGUUGGCGAGACUGGUCUUGAACUCCUGACCUCAGGUGAUCCACCAGCCGUGGUCUCCCAACAUACUGGGAUUACAAGCCGUGAGCCACCGCGCCCGGCCGCCAUCGGUGGUUCUUAACUGCGGGUGCAGUGCUUCUUUGUAACAUUAAGUGUAUCCUUUACCUGUCGCUAGAUAAUGAAUGGUAUGGUGCUGGGUGCAGAUGCAGUGUGGCUCUGGAUAGCACCUUAUGGACAGUUGUGUCCCCAAGGAAGGAUGAGAAUAGCUACUGAAGUCCUAAACAGCAAGCCUAACUCAAGCCAUUGGCACACAGGCAUUAGACAGAAAGCUGGAAGUUGAAAUGGUGGAGUCCAACUUGCCUGGACCAGCUUAAUGGUUCUGCUCCUGGUAACGUUUUUAUCCAUGGAUGACUUGCUUGGGUAUGGAGAGUCGGCUUGACUACACUGUGUGGAGCAACUUUUAAAGAAGCAAAGGACUCAGAAUUCAUGAUUGAAGAAAUGCAGGCAGACCUGUUAUCCUAAACUAGGGUUUUUAACGACCACAACAAGCAAGCAUGCAGCUUACUGCUUGAAAGGGUCUUGCCUCACCCAAGCUGGAGUGCAGUGGCCUUUGAAGC